rnacentral:rRNA from 1 species
AGGAGUGGCGAACGGGUGAGUAACACGUGGGUAACCUGCCCAUCAGAAGGGGAUAACACUUGGAAACAGGUGCUAAUACCGUAUAACAAUCGAAACCGCAUGGUUUCGGUUUGAAAGGCGCUUUUGCGUCACUGAUGGAUGGACCCGCGGUGCAUUAGCUAGUUGGUGAGGUAACGGCUCACCAAGGCAACGAUGCAUAGCCGACCUGAGAGGGUGAUCGGCCACAUUGGGACUGAGACACGGCCCAAACUCCUACGGGAGGCAGCAGUAGGGAAUCUUCGGCAAUGGACGCAAGUCUGACCGAGCAACGCCGCGUGAGUGAAGAAGGUUUUCGGAUCGUAAAACUCUGUUGUUAGAGAAGAACAAGGAUGAGAGUAGAAUGUUCAUCCCUUGACGGUAUCUAACCAGAAAGCCACGGCUAACUACGUGCCAGCAGCCGCGGUAAUACGUAGGUGGCAAGCGUUGUCCGGAUUUAUUGGGCGUAAAGCGAGCGCAGGCGGUUUCUUAAGUCUGAUGUGAAAGCCCCCGGCUCAACCGGGGAGGGUCAUUGGAAACUGGGA